rnacentral:tRNA from 4 species
GUCGGCGUAGCUCAGUGGUUAGAGCAAACGUUUCAUAAGCGUUAGGUCGUCGGUCCAAAUCCGACCGCCGACA